rnacentral:rRNA from 1 species
GACGAACGCUGGCGGCGUGCUUAACACAUGCAAGUCGAACGGAAAGGCCCUGCUUUUGUGGGGUGCUCGAGUGGCGAACGGGUGAGUAACACGUGAGUAACCUGCCCUUGACUUUGGGAUAACUUCAGGAAACUGGGGCUAAUACCGGAUAGGAGCUCCUGCUGCAUGGUGGGGGUUGGAAAGUUUCGGCGGUUGGGGAUGGACUCGCGGCUUAUCAGCUUGUUGGUGGGGUAGUGGCUUACCAAGGCUUUGACGGGUAGCCGGCCUGAGAGGGUGACCGGCCACAUUGGGACUGAGAUACGGCCCAGACUCGUACGGGAGGGAGCAGUGGGGAGUAGUGCACAGUGGGCGGAGGCCUGAUGCAGCAACGCCGCGUGCGGGAUGACGGCCUUGGGGUUGUAAACCACAUUCGCCUGUGACGAAGCGUGAGUGACGGUAAUGGGUAAAGAAGCACCGGCUAACUACGUG